rnacentral:rRNA from 1 species
CAGCACCUCAAGUGGUCAGGAUGAUUAUUGGGCCUAAAGCAUCCGUAGCCGGCGCUGUAAGUUUUCGGUUAAGUCUGUACGCUCAACGUACAGGCUGCCGGGAAUACUGCAGCGCUAGGGAGUGGGAGAGGUAGACGGUACUCGGUAGGAAGGGGUAAAAUCCUUUGAUCUAUUGAUGACCACCUGUGGCGAAGGCGGUCUACCAGAACACGUCCGACGGUGAGGGACGAAGGCCAGGGGAGCAAACCGGAUUAGAUACCCGAGUAGUCC